rnacentral:rRNA from 1 species
UACGUAGGGGGCAAGCGUUGUCCGGAAUCAUUGGGCGUAAAGCGCGUGUAGGCGGCCAGGUAAGUCCGUUCUGAAAGCCCGGGGCUCAACCCCGGGAGGCGGAUGGAUACUGCUUGGCUCGAGUCCGGAAGAGGCGAGUCGGAAUUCCCGGUGUAGCGGUGAAAUGCGCAGAUAUCGGGAGGAACACCAAUGGCGAAGGCAGCUCGCUGGGACGGUACUGACGCUGACGACGCGAAAGCGU